rnacentral:rRNA from 1 species
AGCAGCCGCGGUAAUUCCAGCUCCAAUAGCGUAUAUUAAAGUUGUUGCAGUUAAAAAGCUCGUAGUUGAAUUUCGGGAUCAGAUUGUCGGUCGUGCCUCGGUACGCACUGGCAUUAUUGGUUCCUACCUUCUGAAGAACCGCGAUGUCAUUAAUUUGGUGUCGUGGGGAAUCAGGACUGUUACUUUGAAAAAUUAGAGUGUUUAAAGCAGGCGCACGCUUGAAUACAUUAGCAUGGAAUAAUGAAAUAGGACGUUUGAUUUUAUUUUGUUGGUUUCUAGGAUCGACGUAAUGAUUAAUAGGGUAGUUGGGGGCAUUAGUAUUCAAUUGUCAGAGGUGAAAUUCUUGGAUUUAUUGAAGACUAACUACUGCGAAAGCAUUUGCCAAGGAUGUUUUCAUUAAUCAAGAACGAAAGUUAGGGGAUCGAAGACGAUCAGAUACCGUCGUAGUCU